AACGAACGCUGGCGGCAUGCCUAACACAUGCAAGUCGAACGAAGCCUUCGGGCUUAGUGGCGCACGGGUGCGUAACGCGUGGGAAUCUGCCCUUUGGUUCGGAAUAACAGUUGGAAACGACUGCUAAUACCGGAUGAUGACGAAAGUCCAAAGAUUUAUGGCCAGAGGAUGAGCCCGCGUAGGAUUAGCUAUUUGGGUGGGGAAAGUCGCACCAAGGCGACGAUCCUUAGCUGGUCUGAGAGGAUGAUCAGCCACACUGGGACUGAGACACGGCCCAGACUCCUACGGGAGGCAGCAGUGGGGAAUAUUGGACAAUGGGCGAAAGCCUGAUCCAGCAAUGCCGCGUGAGUGAUGAAGGCCCUAGGGUUGUAAAGCUCUUUUACCCGGGAUGAUAAUGACAGUACCGGGAGAAUAAGCCCCGGCUAACUCCGUGCCAGCAGCCGCAGUAA
rnacentral:rRNA from 1 species